GCCUGUAGCUGAGUGGCUAAGGUGUUUGGCUGCGAGCCAAAGGGUUGAUGGUUCAAGCCCCAGUGUAGUCA